ACCACAGGAAUAGCUCAGUUGGAAGAGCAUGAGACAUUUAAUCUCAGGGUUGUGGGUUUGAACCCCACGUGGGGUA